AAGGUUCUAGCUUAAUUAAAGCAUUUGAGUUGCAUUCAGAGGAUGCAGGCUAGUAUCCUGCGAAUCUUA
rnacentral:tRNA from 1 species